UCGAGAAUCUUCGGCAAUGGGCGCAAGCCUGACCGAGCGACGCCGCGUGGAGGACGAAGGCCUUCGGGUUGUAAACUCCUGUCGAGGGGGACCAAGGGGGCGGGAAGACCGCCCCUUGAGGGAUCCCUGGAGGAAGCACGGGCUAAGUUCGUGCCAGCAGCCGCGGUAAGACGAACCGUGCGAACGUUAUUCGGAAUCAUUGGGCUUAAAGGGCGCGUAGGCGGGCGACCGCGUCGAUGGCUGAAAGCCCCCGGCUUAACCGGGGAACGGGCCACGAUACGGGUCGCCUCGAGGCGAGGAGGGGGACCUGGAACGUCCGGUGGAGCGGUGAAAUGCGUUGAGAUUGGACGGAACACCGACGGCGAAAGCAAGGUCCUGGACUCGUACUGACGCUGAGGCGCGAAAGCCAGGGGAGCGAACGG
rnacentral:rRNA from 1 species